AUAAUAGUUCAAGUUCACAAAAAAGAUAUCAACGAAUCAAUUUAUUAAUAAAAUCUUAAAGUGUCAUUUGAAAUAUAGUUAAAUUGAUAAAGAAAACAAAUCAUCCGAAGAGAAGAAAUAGAAUAUUGAACCCUAAAUUGCAUCACAAUAUGACGGUAAGGACGAAAGCUAAACCCCAAAGAAAAACGAUAUUGCCGAACGAUUGCCAAAACUAGUCAGACUCUUUCCCUAUGAGAUUACUAAUCAAUAGAACAUGAAAUCAUCAAACUGAUACUUUCAAGAUGAAACACUAACUUUCCAUCAAUCGAUCCAAUUGAACCCUAACUUCCAUCACAAUAUACGAGAACUGAAAAUGCAGUUAAGAAGGCAAGAACAAAACCUAAACCCCAAAGAAAAAUGAUGUUGCCCAACGAUUGCCAAAAUCAAUUAGAUUGAAUCAAAAGGGGAGUUGUAUCUGUAGAUGGUAUACAUCAUAAAUAAUGAGAGAACGACUAAAAUUUAUUUUAAUCAAUGGAG
rnacentral:lncRNA from 1 species